AUUUAUAUUCAGCUUCUUGCAACUGUCUUACCAAAUUUGUUUUGUACUUGUGCUUUAUGACCAGUAAAGCUUUAAAGGUCAAAUUAACAUUAAAUUGUAUGCAAGUUUUGUGGAAAAACCAGAACACUGUGUGUAUUAAUUGUAGGCAAUGUUAAUAAUCAUUAAUCCUAGAUAUUAAUCCUGUUAAUAAUCAUUAAUCAUGGGCACUGGACACAUGUUAUGUUCACAUUACACAAGGAAAUUCGGCAACAAAGCUCGUCAGGCACACUGAGCUAUACUAUAAUAUAUAAAUUUACAGACAAUGGCAGCAAGUAGUCUUAAUUUCUUUGUAGAUUUGAUUGAUAGUUCAUCUGAGGAUGUAAGAUGCUCCAUUUUGCACUUUUAUCAAACCAAAUAACACUUCGUUUUGGUGGCGAAAUGUCAGUUUUGGCUAUGCAGGCUCACUGGUUAUUAUAUAUAAUUCACUUACAGGAGUAGGGCUGUAUGCUCUGUCCAACCUUAUUCCUGAUAGUAAUUGACUGGAUCAUGUCUAAGGCUACUAGUAAUAAGAUGGAAUGUUUUUAAUCAACUUGAGGACUUGGAAUUUGCAGAUACAUAUGCCUUUUAACAGAAAAAAGACAACACAUGCAACGCAAAACUGAAAAAGUAGCAGAGUCAGGGAAGAAGGUCGGACUUAACCCCUAAGUACUAACACCUUAAAUCAAUGACCUAAACACUAACUAACCGUCAGACAGGUUUAACAUUUUACUUGUUAUUUUUUAUUUGUUUAAUACUUUAAUGCAGAAAAAUAUUUCGAUGACUUACUGAAAGUAUUACUUAUCUAAAAAACACAGUAGUUGAUCUAGUUUUUCUGUAUUUAUUAAAAUAAAAAACAUAACAAAAA